CAUGAUUGCAGCCCCUGACCCUGAGAAGAUGUUCCAGCUGAGCCGGGCUGAGCUAGCCGUGUUCCACCGGGAUGUCCACAUGCUCCUGGUGGAUCUGGAGCUGCUGCUGGGCAUAGCCAAGGGCCUCGGGAAGGACAACCAGCGCAGCUUCCAGGCCCUGUACACAGCCAAUCAGAUGGUGAACGUGUGUGACCCUGCCCAGCCUGAGACCUUCCCAGUGGCCCAGGCCCUGGCCUCCAGGUUCUUUGGCCAACAUGGAGGUGAAAGCCAACACACAAUUCAUGCCACAGGGCACUGCCACAUUGAUACAGGUAGGACAGCAGCUGGUUGGGCUGGUUGGGGAAGCAGGAGUGCCCUUGAAGACCUGGAUGUGCCCUAGAAGCACUGUGUGAUGCUCAGCAAGUUCUUGUUCCUCUUGGACCCGCAUUUUGCCCAUCUGUAAAAUGGGGCUCGGGGGCUGGACUGUGGGCUCUGCUUGCUUUGGAUUCACUUAUUCUUUUUUUUUUUUUGAGACGGAGUCUCACUCUUGUCACCCAGGGUGGAGUGCAAUGGCGUGAUCUCG
rnacentral:sRNA from 1 species